AUAUUUACCUGGAUGAGGUCAAUGGACAAUAAUCAAGGUUCAUGGCCUAGGUAAGCGACCUCCAUUGCAAUUGGGAGGGGCGCUCGCCUAAGAUUUUUUCACUGUAGGAGAUCCUACGUUAUAAUUUGUGGUAGUUAAUGAGUUUGUGCUUGCAUCGA